rnacentral:rRNA from 1 species
CGGGUGAGUAACGCGUAGGAAUCUACCCAGUAGUGGGGGACAACAUGGUGAAAACCAUGCUAAUACCGCAUACGCCCUAAGGGGGAAAGCGGGGGACCUUCGGGCCUCGCGCUAUUGGAUGAGCCUGCGUCGGAUUAGCUUGUUGGUGAGGUAAAGGCUCACCAAGGCGACGAUCCGUAGCUGGUCUGAGAGGAUGAUCAGCCACACUGGAGCUGAGACACGGUCCAG